UGUUUCCGGAAGGGGCGGGCUUUGCGAAGAUGGCGGCGCCGGGGGUGUUGGAGGCGGACCUGCCGGCCGCCGUGACCCUCCUGAAGAGCCUGCAGGAGCAGGUGAUGGCUGUCACUGCACAGGUGCAAGCACUGACCAAGAAAGUUAAAGCCGGAGCCUAUCCUACAGAGAAGGGACUCAGCUUCCUAGAAGUGAAAGACCAGCUGCUGCUCAUGUACCUCAUGGAUCUGAGCCACCUCCUCCUGGACAAGGCGUCGGGAGGGUCUCUGCAGGGGCACGCUGCGGUUCUGAGACUGGUGGAGAUUCGCACGGUUUUGGAAAAGCUUCGUCCUUUGGACCAAAAACUGAAGUAUCAAAUUGACAAACUGGUCAGGACUGCAGUGACAGGCAGCCUCAGUGAGAAUGACCCACUUCGUUUUAAGCCUCAUCCCAGCAGUAUGAUGAGCAAGUUGAGCUCUGAGGAUGAAGAGGAAGAUGAAGCGGAGGAUGGGCAGUCGUCAGAGAAGAAAUCUGCAAAAGGAGCGUCUAAGAAAUACGUCCCACCGCGCCUGGUCCCAGUGCACUACGACGAAACAGAGGCCGAGCGGGAGAGAAAGCGGCUGGAACGAGCCAAGAGGCGGGCACUGAGCAGCUCUGUCAUCCGCGAACUUAAGGAACAGUACUCAGACGCGCCAGAGGAAAUCCGCGAUGCUCGCCAUCCUCAUGUUACUCGCCAGAGUCAGGAGGACCAGCACAGGAUUAACUAUGAGGAGAGCAUGAUGGUGCGUUUAAGCGUCAGCAAGCGAGAGAAGGGACGGCGAAAGCGCGCAAAUGUCAUGAGCUCACAGCUUCAUUCCCUCACGCACUUCAGUGACAUCAGUGCCUUGACAGGAGGAGCCGCUCACCUCGAUGAGGAUCAGAAUCCUGUCAAGAAGCAGAAGAGGAUACCUAAGAAAGGGCGGAAGAAAAAAGGGGUGACUGUCUCACAGAGGUGGACGAUCAGAGGGUGAAGGACUGUGUCGUGAAACAUGUCCAGGUGGUGGAGGUCCAGGUAGUCGCGGACCUGUUCCAUGAGCCCUGAGCCUGGACCAUUGGCUUUGUUGGUUCUCACGGACUCCGCCGGGCGGGAGCAAGCCACUGGGUGUCACUCCCCGGAGCAGGAGUGCUGCCGCUCAGGACUUGCGGGCUGAGACAGGGGCUCAGGAGCAAGGCUUCCAGCUACCAGGAACAAGACGCACGAGGGUCGGCCCACGUCAGCAGUCAGCCAGGCUCGUUUGCUCCCUGCUCUCCAGGGUCCCAGGUCUUUGCUCUCGACAGAAGCUAAAUCAGUCCCAGAGCUACUUUCUUCGCGAUCUUGAGCUACCUGGUAUUCCAGUGUUCCUGGAA